UUGAAAUUUUUUGAAAUUUUUGAAAUUUUUUGAAUUUUGAAUUUUUUUAAAUUUUGAAAUUUUUGAAAUUUUGAAACUUUUGAAAUUUUGAAAUUUUUUGGAAUUUUGAAAUUUUUUGGAAUUUUGAAAUUUCUUGGAAUUUUGAAAUUUCUUGGAAUUCUGAAAUUUUUUGGAAUUUUGAAUUUUUUGGAAUUUUGAAAUUUUGUGGAAUUUUUAAAUUUUUAAAUUUUUUGGAAUUUUGAAAUUUUAGAAAUUUUGAAAUUUUUUGGAAUUUUGAAAAUU
ensembl:ncRNA Y69H2.24 ncRNA